rnacentral:tRNA from 1 species
UGGAGUAUAGCCAAGGGGUAAGGCAUUCGUUUUUGGUAUGAAGAUGCGUAGGUUCGAAUCCUACUACUCCAG